AUUGAACGCUGGCGGCAGGCCUAACACAUGCAAGUCGAGCGGAGCGGCGGACGGGUGAGUAAGGCCUAGGAAUCUGCAUGGUAGUGGGGGAGAAAGUCCGGAAAGGGGCGCUAAUACAGCAUACUAUCAGAUGAGUCUAGGUCGGAUUAGCUAGUUGGUGGGGUAAAGGCCUACCAAGGCGACGAGCCGUAACUGGUCUGAGAGGAUGAUCAGUCACACUGGGACUGAGACACGGUCCAGACUCCUACGGGAGGCAGCAGUGGGGAAUAUUGGACAAUGGGCGAAAGCCUGAUCCAGCCAUGCCGCGUGUGUGAAGAAGGUCUUCGGAUUGUAAAGCACUUUCAGUUGGGAGGCGUUACCAACAGAAUAAGCACCGGCUAACUUCGUGCCAGCAGCCGCGGUAAUAC
rnacentral:rRNA from 1 species